UUAAGCGACUAAGCGUACACGGUGGAUGCCCUGGCAGUCAGAGGCGAUGAAGGACGUGCUAAUCUGCGAUAAGCGUCGGUAAGGUGAUAUGAACCGUUAUAACCGGCGAUUUCCGAAUGGGGAAACCCAGUGUGAUUCGUCACACUAUCAUUAACUGAAUCCAUAGGUUAAUGAGGCGAACCGGGGGAACUGAAACAUCUAAGUACCCCGAGGAAAAGAAAUCAACCGAGAUUCCCCCAGUAGCGGCGAGCGAACGGGGAGCAGCCCAGAGCCUGAAUCAGUGUGUGUGUUAGUGGAAGCGUCUGGAAAGGCGCGCGAUACAGGGUGACAGCCCCGUACACAAAAAUGCACAUGCUGUGAGCUCGAUGAGUAGGGCGGGACACGUGGUAUCCUGUCUGAAUAUGGGGGGACCAUCCUCCAAGGCUAAAUACUCCUGACUGACCGAUAGUGAACCAGUACCGUGAGGGAAAGGCGAAAAGAACCCCGGCGAGGGGAGUGAAAAAGAACCUGAAACCGUGUACGUACAAGCAGUGGGAGCACGCUUAGGCGUGUGACUGCGUACCUUUUGUAUAAUGGGUCAGCGACUUAUAUUCUGUAGCAAGGUUAACCGAAUAGGGGAGCCGAAGGGAAACCGAGUCUUAACUGGGCGUUAAGUUGCAGGGUAUAGACCCGAAACCCGGUGAUCUAGCCAUGGGCAGGUUGAAGGUUGGGUAACACUAACUGGAGGACCGAACCGACUAAUGUUGAAAAAUUAGCGGAUGACUUGUGGCUGGGGGUGAAAGGCCAAUCAAACCGGGAGAUAGCUGGUUCUCCCCGAAAGCUAUUUAGGUAGCGCCUCGUGAAUUCAUCUCCGGGGGUAGAGCACUGUUUCGGCAAGGGGGUCAUCCCGACUUACCAACCCGAUGCAAACUACGAAUACCGGAGAAUGUUAUCACGGGAGACACACGGCGGGUGCUAACGUCCGUCGUGAAGAGGGAAACAACCCAGACCGCCAGCUAAGGUCCCAAAGUCAUGGUUAAGUGGGAAACGAUGUGGGAAGGCCCAGACAGCCAGGAUGUUGGCUUAGAAGCAGCCAUCAUUUAAAGAAAGCGUAAUAGCUCACUGGUCGAGUCGGCCUGCGCGGAAGAUGUAACGGGGCUAAACCAUGCACCGAAGCUGCGGCAGCGACGCUUAUGCGUUGUUGGGUAGGGGAGCGUUCUGUAAGCCUGCGAAGGUGUGCUGUGAGGCAUGCUGGAGGUAUCAGAAGUGCGAAUGCUGACAUAAGUAACGAUAAAGCGGGUGAAAAGCCCGCUCGCCGGAAGACCAAGGGUUCCUGUCCAACGUUAAUCGGGGCAGGGUGAGUCGACCCCUAAGGCGAGGCCGAAAGGCGUAGUCGAUGGGAAACAGGUUAAUAUUCCUGUACUUGGUGUUACUGCGAAGGGGGGGACGGAGAAGGCUAUGUUGGCCGGGCGACGGUUGUCCCGGUUUAAGCGUGUAGGCUGGUUUUCCGGUGCAAAUCCGGAAAAUCAAGGCUGAGGCGUGAUGACGAGGCACUACGGUGCUGAAGCAACAAAUGCCCUGCUUCCGGUGAAAAGCCUCUAAGCAUCAGGUAACAUCAAAUCGUACCCCAAACCGACACAGGUGGUCAGGUAGAGAAUACCAAGGCGCUUGAGAGAACUCGGGUGAAGGAACUAGGCAAAAUGGUGCCGUAACUUCGGGAGAAGGCACGCUGAUAUGUAGGUGAAGUCCCUCGCGGAUGGAGCUGAAAUCAGUCGAAGAUACCAGCUGGCUGCAACUGUUUAUUAAAAACACAGCACUGUGCAAACACGAAAGUGGACGUAUACGGUGUGACGCCUGCCCGGUGCCGGAAGGUUAAUUGAUGGGGUUAGCGCAAGCGAAGCUCUUGAUCGAAGCCCCGGUAAACGGCGGCCGUAACUAUAACGGUCCUAAGGUAGCGAAAUUCCUUGUCGGGUAAGUUCCGACCUGCACGAAUGGCGUAAUGAUGGCCAGGCUGUCUCCACCCGAGACUCAGUGAAAUUGAACUCGCUGUGAAGAUGCAGUGUACCCGCGGCAAGACGGAAAGACCCCGUGAACCUUUACUAUAGCUUGACACUGAACAUUGAGCCUUGAUGUGUAGGAUAGGUGGGAGGCUUUGAAGUGUGGACGCCAGUCUGCAUGGAGCCGACCUUGAAAUACCACCCUUUAAUGUUUGAUGUUCUAACGUUGACCCGUAAUCCGGGUUGCGGACAGUGUCUGGUGGGUAGUUUGACUGGGGCGGUCUCCUCCUAAAGAGUAACGGAGGAGCACGAAGGUUGGCUAAUCCUGGUCGGACAUCAGGAGGUUAGUGCAAUGGCAUAAGCCAGCUUGACUGCGAGCGUGACGGCGCGAGCAGGUGCGAAAAGCAGGUCAUAGUGAUCCGGUGGUUCUGAAUGGAAGGGCCAUCGCACAACGGAUAAAAGGUACUCCGGGGAUAACAGGCUGAUACCGCCCAAGAGUUCAUAUCGACGGCGGUGUUUGGCACCUCGAUGUCGGCUCAUCACAUCCUGGGGCUGAAGUAGGUCCCAAGGGUAUGGCUGUUCGCCAUUUAAAGUGGUACGCGAGCUGGGUUUAGAACGUCGUGAGACAGUUCGGUCCCUAUCUGCCGUGGGCGCUGGAGAACUGAGGGGGGCUGCUCCUAGUACGAGAGGACCGGAGUGGACGCAUCACUGGUGUUCGGGUUGUCAUGCCAAUGGCACUGCCCGGUAGCUAAAUGCGGAAGAGAUAAGUGCUGAAAGCAUCUAAGCACGAAACUUGCCCCGAGAUGAGUUCUCCCUGACUCCUUGAGAGUCCUGAAGGAACGUUGAAGACGACGACGUUGAUAGGCCGGGUGUGUAAGCGCAGCGAUGCGUUGAGCUAACCGGUACUAAUGAACCGUGAGGCUUAACCU
rnacentral:rRNA from 1 species